AGAGUGAUUUGUCCUCCAGCCUGGACGAGCCGGAGGAUUCCGACCUUCCCUACCCACCCCCGCAGCGGGAGCCCAACAUUUACAUGGUGCCCCAGGGCAUCAGGCCCGUCCUGCAGCGCACGGCCAUCGAGAUCCUGGCCUGGGGGCUGAGGAACCUCAAGAGCUUCCAGCUGGCCAGUGUGACCUCUCCCAGCCUGCUGGUGGAGUGCGGGGGGCAGCUUGUGCAGUCCUGCGUCAUCAAGAACGUCAAGAAGAACCCCAACUUCGACGUCUCCGUGCUCUACAUG